AAUAAUUGUUAGGUGAGGCUCCUAUAUAGAAACAAGCUGCUGCCGCGAAAGGAUCGAGAGAUUCUUAGUUUGGUUUGAACAGGGAUAGAUCGUGAAGGUCAUCCAUAAUGCAGCUGAUAGUCAUAAUGACGAUCUACGCUAUAUAGUGCUAAAGCUCUACGAUG
rnacentral:sRNA from 1 species